UACGUAGGGAGCGAGCGUUGUCCGAAGUUACUGGGCGUAAAGCGCGCGUAGGCGGGCUGUUAAGUGAGAGGUGAAAGGCUGGGGCUUAACCCCAUGCAGUGCCUCUCAUACUGGCGGUCUUGAGUGCGGCAGGGAGAAGUGGAAUUCCUGGUGUAGCGGUGAAAUGCGCAGAUAUCAGGAGGAACACCAGCGGCGAAGGCGGCGCUCUGGGCCGGUACUGACGCUGAGGAGCGAAAGCGUGGGGAGCAAACAGG
rnacentral:rRNA from 1 species